rnacentral:rRNA from 1 species
UUGACGGGGCCCGCACAAGCGGUGGAGCAUGUGGUUUAAUUCGACGCAACGCGAAGAACCUUACCAGGGCUUGACAUCCCCUGACCGCGUAUGAAAGUACGUUUUCACCCUCGGGUGACAGGGAGACAGGUGGUGCAUGGUUGUCGUCAGCUCGUGUCGUGAGAUGUUGGGUUAAGUCCCGCAACGAGCGCAACCCCUACGUUUAGUUGCUAACGCGUGAAGGCGAGCACUCUAGACGAACUGCCGUUGACAAAACGGAGGAAGGUGGGGAUGACGUCAAAUCAUCAUGCCCCUUAUGUUCUGGGCUACACACGUGCUACAAUGGCCGGUACAGACGGACGCAAAGCCGCGAGGCGGAGCCAAUCUCAAAAAGCUAACCUCAGUUCGGAUUGCAGUCUGCAACUCGACUGCAUGAAGUUGGAAUCGCUAGUAAUCGCUGAUCAGCAGGCAGCGGUGAAUACGUUCCCGGGCCUU